AGUGGGGUUAACGCCUCCGAGGGUUCGAAUCCCUUCUUCUCUACAAACACACGGCUAGGUAGCUCAGAGGAA
rnacentral:tRNA from 1 species